UCCGUAGGUGGCGAUCGUUGUCCGGAAUUACUGGGUGUAAAGGGCGUGUAGGCGGGACUGUAAGUCAGAUGUGAAAUUCAGAGGCUCAACCUCUGCGCUGCAUCUGAAACUGUGGUUCUUGAGUGCUGGAGAGGAUAGUGGAAUUCCUAGUGUAGCGGUGAAAUGCGUAGAUAUUAGGAGGAACACCAGUGGCGAAGGCGGCUAUCUGGACAGUAACUGACGCUGAGGCGCGAAAGCGUGGGGAGAAAACAGG
rnacentral:rRNA from 1 species